AAGUGGGAUGACGUCAAAUCAUCAUGCCCCUUAUGACCUGGGCUACACACGUGCUACAAUGGGCGGUACAAAGGGUCGCGAACCCGCGAGGGGGAGCCAAUCCCAAAAAGACCGCUCUCAGUUCGGAUUGCAGGCUGCAACUCGCCUGCAUGAAGCCGGAAUCGCUAGUAAUCGCGGAUCAGCAUGCCGCGGUGAAUACGUUCCCGGGCCUU
rnacentral:rRNA from 1 species